UACGAAGGCAGCAGUGGGGAAUAUUGCACAAUGGGCGAAAGCCUGAUGCAGCUAUGCCGCGUGUAUGAAGAAGGCCUUAGGGUUGUAAAGUACUUUCAUCGGGGAGGAAAAACAAAACUAAUAAUUUUAUUUCUUGACGUUACCCGAAAAAGAAGCACCGGCUAACUCCGUGCCAGCAGCCGCGGUAAUACGGAGGGUGCUAGCGUUAAUCAGAAUUACUGGGCGUAAAGAGCACGUAGGUGGUUUUUUUAAGUCAGAUGUGAAAUCCCUGGGCUUAACCUGGAACUGCAUUUUGAAACUGAAAUACUAGAGUAUCGUAGAGGGAGGUAGAAUUCUAGGUGUAGCGGUGAAAUGCGUAGAUAUCUGGAGGAAUACCUGUGGCGAAAGCGGCCUCCUAAACGAAUACUGACACUGAGGUGCGAAAGCGUGGGGAGCAAACAGGGAUUAGAUACC
rnacentral:rRNA from 1 species